rnacentral:lncRNA from 1 species
UUCUUAACUAUAGAUCUGUUAUCUCAGUGAGAACAUAUCAUGAAAGAUGACAUAAAUGGGCUUUUCUGGCUGACUCCAUGGGGCUACAAAACCUUGAAGUUUCUCUUAGGGUAAGCCUCAGGACCCAUAUCAUGAUCCAAAAGGCCCCGCAUGGCCUGAAACCUUCCCAUUUCCCUACUUUUCCUCAGCCUGACCUGCUUCUAAUUCCUGACACCACACACGUUCCCUCCAUCCUGGGCUGUGGAAUGCAUGCAUCGUCCUCUAUCUCUGAAGCACCUCUCUCCUUCACCUCGUUAGUUUCCAUCUGUCCUUUGGAUUUGAUCACUUAACCAGGAAAGCACCAAGCUCAGGCUGGAAUCUCUGACACACAAAGGCACGGCCCCACGCCCUUCCCCUCUCUCUUCUGUGUCUGACUUUCUCUCUGAGGACACUGAUUCUGUCCACUUUUGCUCCCCUUUGUCUGUCUGUCACAAAGUAGCUUUUGAUGAAUAUUUGAUGAAUGCCUGAAUGUGAUGUGAAGCUCAGAAGCCCCCCUGGGCUGACCAUCAACUUCUCUAAUAUCCACUGGAUCCUGAUGGGGGGCUGGGGACAAACAAAACCUUCAGCAUCACUUGUAUUUUUCUGAGGCUAAAGUUUUCUAGAACUAUGGCUUCAGUACUAGAGAGGGUUUCCCUGGUGGCUCAG